AUUGAACGCUGGCGGCAUGCCUUACACAUGCAAGUCGAACGGUAACGGGCCUUCGGGUGCCGACGAGUGGCGAACGGGUGAGUAAUGUAUCGGAACGUACCUUUCAGUGGGGGAUAACGUAGCGAAAGUUACGCUAAUACCGCAUAUUCUGUGAGCAGGAAAGCAGGGGAUCGCAAGACCUUGCGCUGAUUGAGCGGCCGAUAUCAGAUUGGCUAGUUGGUGAGGUAAAGGCUCACCAAGGCAACGAUCUGUAGCGGGUCUGAGAGGAUGAUCCGCCACACUGGAACUGAGACACGGUCCAGACUCCUACGGGAGGCAGCAGUGGGGAAUUUUGGACAAUGGGGGCAACCCUGAUCCAGCCAUGCCGCGUGAGUGAAGAAGGCCUUCGGGUUGUAAAGCUCUUUCGGCCGGGAAGAAAUCGUAUCAGCUAAUACCUGGUGCGGAUGACGGUACCGGCAUAAGAAGCACCGGCUAACUACGUGCCAGCCGCCGCGGUAAGAC
rnacentral:rRNA from 1 species